rnacentral:rRNA from 1 species
CCUACGGGAGGCAGCAGUGAGGAAUAUUGGUCAAUGGGCGGAAGCCUGAACCAGCCAAGUCGCGUGAGGGAAUAAGGCCCUACGGGUCGUAAACCUCUUUUGCCGGGGAGCAAGGGCCGGGACGCGUCCCGGCCCGGAGAGUACCCGGAGAAAAAGCAUCGGCUAACUCCGUGCCAGCAGCCGCGGUAAUACGGAGGAUGCGAGCGUUAUCCGGAUUUAUUGGGUUUAAAGGGUGCGUAGGCGGCAAAAUAAGUCUGAAGUAAAAGGCGUUGGCUCAACCAACGUAAGCUUUGGAAACUGUUAAG